AAGGGCACCACAAGAACGCUGGAGCAUGUGGCUUAAUUUGACUCAACGCGGGGAAACUUACCGGGUCCGACACACUGAGGAUUGACAGGCGUUUACUUGUUUUGUGUUGUUUCUUUGGCGACUUCGGUCAAAAGGGAAGCUUCUACAAUUCAAGUAUAGCAAAUAUGCUAGUCCUUUCAUGAUUGUGUGAUAGGUGGUGCAUGGCCGUUCUUAGUUCGUGGAGUGAUCUGUCUGCUUAAUUGCGUUUCACAUAUAUGAACGAAAGAAUCCCGCCUGUGCUUGUGGUACGCCACGAGUACGGCUUUUACGUGGAUUUCUAAAGUUCUGAAGGCAACGAACGUGACCGCAACCUCUAGUUGCUCGUCUCAAGGGUAUUGAACUUUGGGAUGUCUUUUGGGAUAUCUUGAGGGAUUUCCCUUACUCGCACGAUGCUAACUAGAGGGACCGCUAGUAACUUUCAAACAGAGGAAGGUUGCGGCAAUAACAGGUCUGUGAUGCCCUUAGAUGUUCCGGGCUGCACACGUGCUACAAUGAUUGUUGCAGUAAGCAUCUCUCCCAUUGUAUGUCUUCCUCUCUUUAUUCCUUUAUUGGGAUAGGAGGAACGACACCACGUUCACUGCCGCGUUUCGGUGUACUUUGACUCUCCUUCUCACUUUUCUUUGUUCUCUUGCGUGCUUUCUUCUUUUCAAACCUUGAUAUCCUUUUUUUAGGGUAUUGAGUGUGCGAGAAGUCGUAUAGUGUGUGAGUAGGGCGGAACUGUGGGUUUAAGGCGUCAGUCGCUGAAUGUGUUGGUCUGUGUAACGUGUCGACCUACUUCGAAAGUGUUUAGGCAAUCACUUAGAAGUAACAACCCAGUUUCCCGCCACUUUAUACAUCUCUUGUUUUGCUGCUCCCUUUGCGAUACUCUUCGGAUGUGUCCUUGGGGUUUACAUGUAGCCUUGAUGAUGUUGUGCUCCAUUAAUUCGUUGUGGGGACAGACCAUUGCUAAUUGUUGGUCUCGGUCUCAACUAGGAAUGCCUUGUAGAUGUGGUUCAACAAACCGCAUCGAAUAUGUCCCUGCCUUUUGUACACACCGCCCGUCGCUCUUACCGAUGGACUUCGCUGUGAGUUUGAGGGACUGGCAAUACAGUCAUAGUUAGGUCUUUUCAUUGAGGCCUCUUUGGCUUGCUAUGGAAACUUAAACGAACAGUGUGGUCUAAAGGAAAGAGAAGUCGAACAAGGCA
rnacentral:rRNA from 1 species